UGGAGGAAUCAGUAACAAUUAUGCACAUUAUAAAUAGUCACAGAGAUUAGACCCUGCCCUCUCUGUGGCUGAUUAACUGCCUCCCAGCUGAAGCUGUAGAACCUAACGAAGAACACCUGAAACCAGCCAAGAACACAGUCUUUGGGAGACGUGUGAGGAGGUUCCUUGAGGAAUGUCUGAGUUAAGUUGGAAGAGAAGGAGAGCAGUGGUAACUGUCCGCUCUAUGAAAGAGUGGCGAUGGCUAGACCUAAACUGGAAAGAAGGGGAGACUCUGAGGAAGGAAGGGCUGUACCCAGCAUCAGACUGAUGGGAGACUUCUGAUUUUAUGUUUGUUUGGACUCUGAGACCCAAGAAAGUGUGGCCUUUUCUAUUAUGACUCAUCUGGAGGUCCAAGUUGCUGCAUCAGACAAACUGUUUGGGAAGGCCAAGAAAACCAGUCUGAAUGAAGGGAAAAUGAAGCAGCAGCUAUCUUAGGCAGCAGCCCCAGCAAAGCAGAAAAGGAGUUAAGGCUGAGAGAAGGAGGGAGAGCUCCAGAAACAAGUUGUCAGAGGAUAGAAAAGAGGUUGAUCUCCACAAUCAACUUGCUGAAGUCCUCAUGAGCCAGCUGAAGCAGAAAUGGUGAUUAGUAUGGACAAUACUAUUAACCCUUUUGCUGCUGCUGCUACUUGCCUACGUUGGUCCUGAAAAGAGUCUUUGCUGGAUUGAAGGAGUUACGAUAGAGCACACUCCCCGGAAGUGUCUUAACUAGUAUGUCCAGGCAGCCCACCUCCUGAAGGCACCCUGCAUUUUAGGGUAGCAUCAUAAAUAUGCUUCACAGGUAGAGCUGUGCAAAUAAUAGAUUUUUUUGGUAAGCUGGAAAUUUGAAAAAAAUAUUUUAGAAAUAAGUUUGUAGCCAAAACAAAAACAAUAUUUUUCAAAUUUUUGGCUUAUUGUAAAGCUAAAAAAAUG